rnacentral:rRNA from 1 species
UACGGAGGAUGCGAGCGUUAUCCGGAUUUAUUGGGUUAAAGGGUGCGUAGGCGGGCUUUUAAGUCAGCGGUAAAAAUUCGGGGCUCAACCCCGUCCGGCCGUUGAAACUGGGGGUCUUGAGUGGGCGAGAAGAAGGCGGAAUGCGUGGUGUAGCGGUGAAAUGCAUAGAUAUCACGCAGAACCCCGAUUGCGAAGGCAGCCUUCCGGCGCCCUACUGACGCUGAGGCACGAAAGUGCGGGGAUCGAACAGG